CAUGCUAGUCGAGCGGUAACAGGUCUAGCUUGCUAGACGCUGACGAGCGGCGGACGGGUGAGUAAUGCAUAGGAAUCUGCCCGAUAGUGGGGGAUAACCUGGGGAAACCCAGGCUAAUACCGCAUACGUCCUACGGGAGAAAGGGGGCUUCGGCUCGCGCUAUCGGAUGAGCCUAUGUCGGAUUAGCUAGUUGGUGGGGUAAUGGCCCACCAAGGCGACGAUCCGUAGCUGGUCUGAGAGGAUGAUCAGCCACAUCGGGACUGAGACACGGCCCGAACUCCUACGGGAGGCAGCAGUGGGGAAUAUUGGACAAUGGGGGCAACCCUGAUCCAGCCAUGCCGCGUGUGUGAAGAAGGCCUUCGGGUUGUAAAGCACUUUCAGCGAGGAAGAACGCCAGGGAGUUAAUACCUCCCUGGAAAGACAUCACUCGCAGAAGAAGCACCGGCUAACUCCGUGCCAGCAGCCGCGGUAAUACGGAGGGUGCAAGCGUUAAUCGGAAUUACUGGGCGUAAAGCGCGCGUAGGUGGCUUGAUAAGCCGGUUGUGAAAGCCCCGGGCUCAACCUGGGAACGGCAUCCGGAACUGUCAAGCUAGAGUACAGGAGAG
rnacentral:rRNA from 1 species